AGAGUUUGAUUAUGGCUCAGAUUGAACGCUGGCGGCGUGCUUAACACAUGCAAGUCGAUCGGUAACAGGUGUAGCAAUACAUGCUGACGAGAGGCGGACGGGUGAGGAAUGUUUGGGAAUCUGCCCAUCAGCGGGGGACAACCCGGGGAAACUCGGGCUAAUACCGCAUACGCUCUACGGAGGAAAGCCGGGGACCGCAAGGCCUGGCACUGAUGGAUGAGCCCAAAUCGGAUUAGCUAGUUGCCGGGGUAACAGCCCACCAAGGCGACGAUCCGUAGCUGGUCUGAGAGGACGGUCAGCCACACUGGGACUGAGACACGGCCCAGACUCCUACGGGAGGCAGCAGUGGGGAAUAUUGGACAAUGGGGGAAACCCUGAUCCAGCGACGCCGCGUGGGUGAAGAAGGCCUGCGGGUUGUAAAGCCCUUUCGGUAGGGACGAAAGCUCUCGACCUAACACGUCGGGAGGAU
rnacentral:rRNA from 1 species